rnacentral:rRNA from 1 species
UCAAGCGACUAAGUGUAUGUGGUGGAUGCCUUGGCGAUUACAGGCGAAGAAGGACGUCGCAGCCUGCGAAAAGCCGUGGGGAGCUGGCAAGCGAGCACUGAUCCACGGAUGUCCGAAUGAGGGAACUCACCCGCAAGGGUAUCUUGAAGUGAAUACAUAGCUUCAAGAGGCGAACGCAGCGAACUGAAACAUCUAAGUAGCUGCAGGAAAAGAAAUCAACCGAGAUUCUGAAAGUAGCGGCGAGCGAAAUUGGAAGAGCCUGCAAGUGAUAUUGAAUUCGAUACUGGAACGGUCUGGAAAGUCCGGCUACAGAGGGUGACAGCCCCGUACGGGAAAUUGGGUUCAAGGUACUGAGCUUGCGAGAAGUAGAGCGGGACACGUGAAAUCCUGCUCGAAGAUGGGGGGACCAUCCUCCAAGGCUAAAUACUCGUAAUCGACCGAUAGCGAACCAGUACUGUGAAGGAAAGGCGAAAAGAACCCCGGGAGGGGAGUGAAAUAGAUCCUGAAACCGCAUACAUACAAACAGUAGGAGCCCGCAAGGGUGACUGCGUACCUUUUGUAUAAUGGGUCAGCGACUUACGUUCAAUGGCAAGCUUAACCGAGUAGGGGAGGCGCAGCGAAAGCGAGUCCGAACAGGGCGACAUGAGUCGUUGGGCGUAGACCCGAAACCAGAUGAUCUAUCCAUGGCCAGGCUGAAGGUGUGGUAACACACACUGGAGGGCCGAACCGACUAGUGUUGCAAAAUUAGCGGAUGAGCUGUGGAUAGGGGUGAAAGGCUAAACAAAUCUGGAGAUAGCUGGUUCUCCCCGAAAACUAUUGAGGUAGUGCCUCGUGUAUGGCUCCAGGGGGUAGAGCACUGUUAUGGCUAGGGGGACAUGGCGUCUUACCAAACCAUGGCAAACUCCGAAUACUUGGAAGUCUGAGCACGGGAGACAGAGCACCGGGUGCUAACGUCCGGACUCAAAAGGGAAACAACCCAGACCGCCGGCUAAGGUCCCUAAUAUUGACUAAGUGGAAAACGAAGUGGGAAGGCUAAGACAGUCAGGAAGUUGGCUUAGAAGCAGCCAUCCUUCAAAGAAAGCGUAAUAGCUCACUGAUCGAGUCUUCCUGCGCGGAAGAUGUAACGGGGCUAAGUCAAUAACCGAAGCCGCGGAUUCGCAGCAAUGCGAGUGGUAGGGGAGCGUUCUGUAAGCCUGCGAAGGCGGAUCUGCGAGGACCGCUGGAGGUAUCAGAAGUGCGAAUGCUGACAUGAGUAACGUUAAAGCGGGUGAAAAGCCCGCUCGCCGCAAGCCCAAGGUUUCCUGCUCUACGUUCAUCGGAGCAGGGUGAGUCGGCCCCUAAGGUCAGGCUGAGAAGCGUAGCUGAUGGGAAGCUGGUUAAUAUUCCAGCACCGAUUUCAAGUGCGAAGGGGGGACGGAGUCCUGAAGGUCAUCCGGGUGUUGGAUAUCCCGGUUUACGAGCGUAGGAGGUUGACAGGCAAAUCCGUCAACGAAUCUCCAAGGCGAAGGAUCGAGGUUGAGAGAUCAACUGAAGUGACUGAAUGGGCUUCCAGGAAAAGCCUCUAAGCAUCAGCUUGGAAUUGACCGUACCGCAAACCGACACUGGUGGGCGAGCUGAAUAUGCUCAGGCGCUUGAGAGAACUCAGGAGAAGGAACUCGGCAAAUUGACACCGUAACUUCGGGAUAAGGUGUGCCUUUGUAGUGUGAAGGGAGAAACACCCCGAGCAUGAAGAGGCCUCAGAGAAUCGGUGGCUGCAACUGUUUACUAAAAACACAGCACUCUGCAAAGAUGAAAGUCGACGUAUAGGGUGUGAUGCCUGCCCGGUGCUGGAAGAUUAAUUGAUGGGGUGCAAGCUCCUGAUCGAAGUCCCAGUAAACGGCGGCCGUAACUAUAACGGUCCUAAGGUAGCGAAAUUCCUUGUC